GACGAACGCUGGCGGCGUGCCUAACACAUGCAAGUCGAACGAUGAAGCCGGAGCUUGCUUUGGUGAAUUAGUGGCGAACGGGUGAGUAACACGUGAGUAACCUGCCCUUGACUCUGGGAUAACUGCGGGAAACUGUAGCUAAUACCGGAUACGACCCUCGGAGGCAUCUCCUGGGGGUGGAAAGAAUUUCGGUCAAGGAUGGACUCGCGGCCUAUCAGCUAGUUGGUGAGGUAAAGGCUCACCAAGGCGACGACGGGUAGCCGGCCUGAGAGGGUGACCGGCCACACUGGGACUGAGACACGGCCCAGACUCCUACGGGAGGCAGCAGUGGGGAAUAUUGCACAAUGGGCGCAAGCCUGAUGCAGCAACGCCGCGUGAGGGAUGACAGCCUUCGGGUUGUAAACCUCUUUUAGCAGGGAAGAAGCGAAAGUGACGGUACCUGCAGAAAAAGCACCGGCUAACUACGUGCCAGCCGCCGCAGUAA
rnacentral:rRNA from 1 species